rnacentral:lncRNA from 1 species
GUUCGCUGCUGCCCGGCCCCGGCCCGCCGGCCGCGUGGCGAGUUCGAGGCCCGAGUCCGCUAGCCCCGCGGCCGCUGACACCUGCAGCCCCGAGCCCGGGAGAUGGUGUCCCAGUCGGCGGGCGGGCCCGAGGCCCCCGGGGAGGCCCGCGGGAGGGCCGGCAGGGGCCCCGGCGACCCGGGCGGCCCGCGCAGCUCCCCGCACCUCGAGCGGCCCCGCUGCGCGCCCGACGCCAGGCUGCGGAGGCACAGGGCCGCCUGGGUGCAGCCGCCGCCCGCGCAGCGCCCGGGGCCCGACUCGCCCUCCGCGGGGGCCCCGGGGCGCCGGCCGGCCUGUCCCCGGGGCAAGGGGGGCCCGGAGCCCCGGGAGCUGCCCCCCGCCCCGCCUGCGCCCCGGACCCAGGGCGGCGCUGCUCCGCCGCCUCCAGCGCAGGAAGGUGCUGUGCAAGGAAGAACCUUGAAUCCCUUCUCACCAGAGGCAUUCCUGCUCCCUGUCGAUGUUGAAAAGGAAAACGCCCACUUCUACGUUGCGGAUAUGAUUAUAGCGGCAAUGGAGAAGAUCAAGUACGCCAUCCUGAGUCAGCAGCACCCAGACCCCUGGGGUGAGGAAGAGGCCAGGGGGGCACCCGGCAGUGGUCACGCUGAUGCUGAGACGACCUUCUAUAGCAACAUGAAGCAAGGAUCUGGGUCUUCCAACUCUUCUGACAGCGGCUAUGAAGGUUGUGCUAUGUUACAGGGCAGCCCGGUGGCUGGGACACCCACUUACGGUGACGUUCUCAAAGAAGCCUGUAAAUGUGACUUUGAUGACUUUGUUGUCGUAGAACUUGGUGAGUUUAGCAAUAUCACAGAAACCUGUGGAUGCUCCUGCAGCUCUUCCAAGAGUAUCGUUUAUGAGCCAGACUUCAAUUCCGCUGAGCUAAUAGCCAAAGAGUUGUACCGAGUAUUCCAGAAGUGCUGGAUGUGGUCAGAAGUUCAUCAUCAGCUGGAAGGUUCUCCCAAUGCCGCUGGCUCCAUAGUUGUAAAUGAAGAACGUGUCCGGAAAGACUUUGAAUCCAGUGUGGAUGUGGUUCAGGAAAUUAAACUUCAGUCGAAGAUCAGAGAGGCUGAAGACUGGGAGCCCCCCCGAUUUCAAAUCAUAUUUGAUGUUCAUCCACCACUCAAGAGGGAUCUCGUGGUAGCAGCCCAGAACUUUCUGUGUGCUGGCUGUGGCACGCCGAUAGAACCCAAGUUUGUGAGGCGCCUGCGGUACUGCGACUACCUGGGCAAGUAUUUCUGUGACUGCUGCCACACCUACGCAGACUCCUGCAUCCCGGCCCGGAUCCUGAGCACGUGGGACUUCAGGAGGUACUACGUCAGCAACUUCUCCAAGCGCCUGCUGGACAGCGUGUGGCACCAGCCCAUUUUCAAUUUGCUGAGCGCAGGCCACAGCCUGUACGCCAAGGCCAAGGAGCUGGACCGAGCCAGGGAAAUCCAGGAGCAACUUUUUCAGAUCAAGAAGCUGUUGAAGACCUGCAGGUUUGCUGAAAGCGCAGUAAAGGCAUUUGAGCAGGUGCCGAGGCACUUGACCGACGAUCUCCACCUGUUCUCUCUGGAGGACCUGGUCAGGGUAAAGAAGAGGCUGCUGGUGCCCUUGCUCAAGGACAUUCUCAAAGCUUCCCUUGCACAUGUGGCCAGCUGUGAGCUGUGUCAAGGAAAGGGCUUCAUCUGCGAAUUUUGCCAGAGUACAGCCGUCAUCUUCCCAUUUCAGACCGAAACGUGUAGACGAUGUGCAGGGUGCAGAGCUUGCUUUCACAAGCAGUGCUUCCAGUCCUCCGAGUGCCCCCGGUGUGCCAGGAUCACAGCCAGGAGAAGACUUCUGGAAAGUUUACCCUCUGCAGCAACAUGAGCCCCUGACCACGGUGGAAAAGACUGUUCAACAUGCCUUAUAACACCGAUUUGUGUCGAUUAUUGACAAUCGUGUUUCAGAUUUUGAGUAUUGUAUAUUAAGAAAAAAUGGUGGCCAAUCUUUUUUAUUAUAUAUAUAUAUAUAUAUUUAAUGUGUUACUAAGAAUGCACAUUUUUUUGUUAUUAAGCAUAGGUUUGUUACUGGUGGUCUUGUUUACAAACGUUCAGUGUUUUUGCUGCUACUGUUUUUUUCUUAAGAAUUUUUUUUUGAUACUUCUUAAAAUUGCCUUUGAGUGGUUGCAUUCAGCUGAUACUGGAGCCUAUUUUUUUAUGAAUUGUUAACUGACAAGGCAAAUUACUCAGUUUGUCUUUCUACAAAGCUAGUUUUAAACGAAUUGGUACUUUCAAUGAACAAAAAUGCGAACAAUGAUCUGUUUACUCCGGGGUUCUUUCCCCCCCCGACUUAAAUGCCACUUUGUAAUUGCAUCCGUGUUUUAGAUCAUACUUAUUCCGGGGUUGGCACAGGGAGUCCCUGUUCCCUCUGCAUCUAUGUCCAGAUGAGUGUGAGCUGCUUAGCGGGGCUGCAGCUGCCGUUCGAAGGUGUCGCCCCUGCGGGCCACUCUCAGGCACACACCGACCCUGUACUUGUCCUCUCCCUUCCACACACUAAAUCAAGGGCUGCAUGGCUGAGUCGAACCUCAUCCCUGCCCUUUAGGAUUUUGUCUCGUGGAUAUAAAACUGAACAUAAGGUAUUGACAAACUUAAACUGUGGGAAAGUCCCGUCAUUGAGCAAUGUGAUUUUAGUAAUGACAAUAAAAUCAUGGACCUCAAUUAAAAAGGUGAGGUA